AUCGCUCUGAUGUUUCAUCAAUAAAGCCUUUUUUAUCUGUUCUUAUCAGCUUAAUAUCUGAUACGCACUCCAUUGGAGUGCCAGAAUAUUAAACUGAUUUUUGGAAAUUGACGGACCCCCGGGGCUUGCCCCGAGUCUGUCGCGAGUUGUCCCGGUAUUGCAGUACCGCCGGGCACGGCUCAAUAAUC